CCCUUAGAUGUCCUGGGCUGCACGCGCGCUACACUGACGAACUCAACGAGCUUAUCUCCUUGGCAGAGAUGUCUGGGUAAUCUUUUGAAAGUUCGUCGUGCUGGGGAUAGAUGAUUGUAAUUAUUCGUCUUGAACGAGGAAUUCCUAGUAAGUGUGAGUCAUCAGCUCGCGCUGAUUACGUCCCUGCCCUUUGUACACACCGCCCGUCGCUCCUACCGAUUGAAUGGUCCGGUGAGGUUCUCGGAUUUUUUCUGUUGUUUGGUUCGCUAAACGAUUGAAGAGAGAAGUUACCCAAACCUUACCAUUUAGAGGAAGGAGAAGUCGUAACA
rnacentral:rRNA from 1 species